UACGUAGGGACCAAGCGUUGUUCGGAUUUACUGGGCGUAAAGGGCGCGUAGGCGGCAAAUUAAGUCAGCUGUGAAAUCUCCGGGCUUAACUCGGAACGGUCAGCUGAUACUGCUUUGCUAGAGUGCAGAAGGGGCAAUCGGAAUUCUUGGUGUAGCGGUGAAAUGCGUAGAUAUCAAGAGGAACACCUGAGGUGAAGACGGGUUGCUGGGCUGACACUGACGCUGAGGCGCGAAAGCUAGGGUAGCAAACGGG
rnacentral:rRNA from 1 species